GACGAACGCUGGCGGCGUGCUUAACACAUGCAAGUCGAACGGAAAGGCCCUGCUUUUGUGGGGUGCUCGAGUGGCGAACGGGUGAGUAACACGUGAGUAACCUGCCCUUGACUUUGGGAUAACUUCAGGAAACUGGGGCUACUACCGGAUAGGAGCUCCUGCUGCGUGGUGGGGGGUGGAAAGUUUCGGCGGUUGGGGAUGGACUCGCGGCUUAUCAGCUUGUUGGUGGGGUGGUGGAUUACCAAGGAUUUGACGGGUAGCCGGCCCGAGAGGGUGACCGGCCACAUUGGGCCUGAGAUACGGCCCAGACUCCUACGGGGGGCAGCAGGGGGGAAUAUUGCACAAUGGGCGGAAGCCUGAUGCAGCAACGCCGGGGGCGGGAUGACGGCCUUCGGGUUGUAAACCGCUUUCGCCUGUGACGAAGCGUGAGUGACGGUAAUGGGUAAAGAAGCACCGGCUAACUACGUG
rnacentral:rRNA from 1 species